AAGAGCCCGCCCCGCGGCGGCCCGGCUGGCCCGGGCGGCGGGCGGCCGCGGUAUGUCAUGCAGGUGGCGGCCAAGGACGGGCAGCUGCUCUCCUCCGUGGUGCGGACCCUCGCCACGCAGAGCAGUCCCUUCAAUGACCGCCCGAUGUGCAGGAUCUGCCACGAGGGCAGCAGUCAGGAAGACCUGCUUUCUCCUUGCGAGUGUAUGGGGACGCUGGGGACCAUCCACCGCAGCUGCCUGGAGCACUGGCUGUCCUCGUCCAACACUAGCUUCUGCGAGCUCUGCCACUUCAGAUUUGCAGUGGAGCGCAAACCCAGGCCGCUGGUAGAGUGGCUGAGGAACCCAGGUCCCCAGCAUGAGAAGCGGACUCUCUUCGGGGACAUGGUGUGUUUCCUGUUCAUCACUCCACUGGCAACCGUCUCUGGCUGGCUGUGCCUGCGGGGAGCUGUGGAUCACCUGCACUUCAGCAGUAGGCUGGAAGCUGUUGGCCUCAUUGCACUUACUGUUGCACUCUUCACCAUUUACCUCUUUUGGACCUUAGUGAGUAUGGGUAUGGGGGAAAGAGUAGAGCAGGAAAUUAAUUACACCUCUACCACUCUAGAGUGCUGUAGAGUGGAUGAAGCAUUGCAUAAAGCAUCGUUUACAUUCAGAAAUCUCUUCAUUCCAUGUAUAUUAAGUUCUUUGGAAAUUCAGAAAGAUGCAGUGCAUUUGAGGUCUGUACUUCUCAAAUCUCAAACUCUGGGCAGGAGAGGGAGAGAGGAAGCAGUGAGGAGGAAUUCAAAGCAGGUGCUGCAGCAUGGUGAUACCAUCAAAGAAGGCUACAAAGUUGGUUGAGGCACAAUUCUCCCUUGGUGAAUCCACGCUAUUCCUGAUGACCUUCUUCUCUUCCAAUUGCUUGAGAUGGCAUCCAGAACAAGCUGUUCCAUCACCUUUCCAGAGACAGAGGUGAGAAUGAAUGGCCUGUAGUUUCCCCAGAUCCUCUUUCUUGCCCUUUUUGAAAACCAGAGCGACACUGGUUAUCCUUCAGUCUUCAGGCACCUCUUCUGCGCUCCAAGACCUGCCAAAGAUAGAGAGCAGUUCAGCAAUCACCUUUGCCAGCUCCUUCAGCACACGUGGAUGCAUCUCAUCAGGGCCCAUGGAUCUGUGCACACUGAUCCCAGCUAGAUGCUCUUGGGCCAUCUCCUCAAUCAGAGGGAAGCUCUCAAUUUCCCGGACUCUCUCUUCCCUCCAGAGUCCAGGAGUCCUGUAGGGGAGUCUCUGAAGCAAAGAUGGCAUUCAGCAUCUCCACCUUCUCAGCAUGUCCCAUUACCAGGACACCUCCCUCAUUCAGCAGGGGAUCAACAUUAUCCCUAGUUUUUCUUUUACUGUUAACAAAAAAAAAAAAAAAAAAGAUAAUAAUAAGGGGUUAUCUCGUCUGCCAGCUUCGGCUCCAGGUGAGCUUUAGCCUUCCAUGCUGCUUCCCUACAGGCCCUGACAACAUUCCUAUAGUCCUCCCAAGGCCCUUCCACCACAUUCCAUAAACCUUCUUCUUCCCUUUGAUCUUAUUCAUGAACUCCUUGCUCAUCCACACAGGUCUCCUGAUUUCCUACUCUUAGGGUUGCACCAAUCUUGAGCUUGGAAGAAGUGCUGUUUAAAUGUUGCUCAGCUCUCACAGGCCCCUUUACCUUCAAGAGAUGAGAUGCCCACAAGAUACGUCCAAGAUCUUGAACUUCACCAUCUCAUGAUUGCUACAUCCCAAGCUGCUCUCAACCUUCACAUCCCUAACAAGCCCAUCACUGUUGAAAAGAAAAAAAGAAGAACACCCUGCCUUGUUGGCUCUUCCACCACCUGUGUCAGAAAAUCAUCUUCAACGCAUUGCGGGAACCAUCUGGACUGCACGUGCCUGGCCAUGUUGCUUACAUAACAAAUAUCUAAAUGAUUAAAGUCCCCCAUGAGAACCAGCACAUGGGAUUGUGAGUCUAUUUCCAGCUAAAGGUAGAAGGCCUUAUCAACUUCAUCCUUCUGAUCUGGUGACCUGUAGUACACCCCCUCAGUGAUGUCAGCCAUCCCAGCCUACCCGUUAAUUCUCACCCUCACAUUCUUCCCCCCUCCCAGAUGGAGCUCAUUACAUUCUAGUUGGUCUCUCACAUGAAGGGCAACUCUUCCACCUUUACUUCCCAAUCCUAUCUUUCCAAAGAAGGAUAUAGCCCUCCACGACAGCAUACCAGUCAUGCGAGCUGCCCCACCACAUCCCUGUGACUGCAGUGAGAUCACAGCCCUGCAACUGCACACAGAUCUCCAGCUCAUCCUGUUUACUUCCCACGCUGCAUGCACUGAUAUACAGGCAGUUAAGGGAAGCAGCGGGUUCAGUUACCCCUGGAGGGACACAAGAUUUUGCAUGCAGUACUGGCAAUAUGACCUUCUCUGAGGAGGCCUUGCACGAUCCCACGGGACAGCUCGGAGGUUUUUCCCAGCAAUCCCCAACAGUGACAACAUCCCUCAGCUCCAAUCUGUCUCCCUCAGAGAUUCCCGGGAGCCCCUCAGGCUGCUGAUUUCUUGUGGCAGCCCGGCCAUCUGCUCAAGCACCUCCUUGAACAGGGCACACCUGCAGCCAUGACAGCCCUCUUCUCCCUCAGGACCCAGGGAGACCUCGAGAUUAUGGGGCAAUCCAGAGUCAGCAUUUUGGACUGCCGCCUCACCCCACGGGUGCCCACCUGGGUGCACGCAUGAGCCCAGAGAGGCUGUGUCCCCUCAAUCUGCAUUGCUGCCUCAGCCCAGCUG